AAUUACAGCAUUCCCGAAGCAAAGAGAACAGUUCGAGGUUUGGAAACAGUUUUCUUCUAUUCACCUUAUUUUGCACGACAACAAGGGUGACGCCAUUGCGUUCGUUUUGUCAUCUUACUCCCGUCUGAGAAAGACUUCAACUUCCGGCUCAUGAGAGGGAUGAGAUUCUGCGCUAGUUGAAACGAACGGGCCUAAGGACGGGAAUCCGAUUGAGGAACACCCCAGAAAUGGCUCGGCUACGAUGUUCCGAUAAAGAAGUCACGCCGGGUGUUGAAUAUUGUCAGAUUCAGAUGCAUCAAUGAGAGUCAGUAAUGCAGUGGAUAACUAUGAGGAUGAUCACAUCCACAUGCCCCACAGCUGUGAUGCAGAAUCACAAUAGGAGGAUCAAUCUGUCUUU